rnacentral:rRNA from 1 species
GGCGUGCCUAACACAUGCAAGUCGAACGGUAACAGGUCUUCGGAUGCUGACGAGUGGCGCACGGGUGAGUAACGCGUGGAUAUCUGCCUAUUAGUGGGGGACAACUUUCGGAAACGGAAGCUAAUACCGCAUAAUCUCUACGGAGGAAAGCAGGGGACCUUUCGGGGCCUUGUGCUGAUAGAUGAGUCCGCGUCUGAUUAGCUAGUUGGUAGGGUAAAGGCCUACCAAGGCGAUGAUCAGUAUCUGGUUUGAGAGGAUGAUCAGACACACUGGAACUGAGACACGGUCCAGACUUCUACGGAAGGCAGCAGUGGGGAAUAUUGCACAAUGGGGGAAACCCUGAUGCAGCGACGCCGCGUGUCGGAAGAAGGCUUUAGGGUUGUAAACCACUUUCAAUUGGGAAGAAGAGAUGAGUACUAAUAUUAUUCUGAUUUGACGGUACCUUUAGAAGAAGCACCGGCUAAUUUCGUGCCAGCAGCCGCGGUAAUACGAAAGGUGCAAGCGUUGUUCGGAUUUACUGGGCGUAAAGCGAGUGUAGGUUGUUUAUUAAGUCGGAUGUGAAAUCCCAGGGCUCAACCCUGGAACUGCAUUCGAUACUGAUAGGCUAGAGUUCGGGAGGGGUAAGCGGAAUUCCGUGUGUAGCAGUGAAAUGCGUAGAUAUACGGAGGAACACCUGAGGCGAAGGCGGCUUACUGGACCGAUACUGACACUGAGACUCGAAAGCGUGGGUAGCAAACAGGAUUAGAUACCCUGGUAGUCCACGCCCUAAACGAUGUCAACUAGCCGUUGCGGGUAUCGACCCCUGCAGUGGCGAAGCUAACGCGAUAAGUUGACCGCCUGGGGAGUACGGUC